AGUGCAGCUAAUAAGUAACCUGUUGAUGGGUGAGAUCAAGCUGUUUUGUUUUGUGGGGGUAUCUGUCUCUGAAGCGGCUCUUCCACCCCUGCGGGAUCCCUUCCUGAGCCCACCUCCUCCUUGCUCCAGAGAUGCUGUCCCCACAGACCUGGAGUUCCACUGACGUCGGUGUCCCCUAGGUGUUCUCAGCUGCUGCCUCGGGGGCCAAAUCACACCCUGCUCCCACCCUGAAUAAGAGGGAAAACUGCCAGGUCCAUCCAGUGGCAAGAAAUCGUGAAGGUGAAGGUCCCAUCCAAGGUCUGCUUCCGGCUGGGCUUCUCCCCUGAACAUAGACACACACGUCCCCCUGUGAGCUGGACAUCUGCCCCGUGGUCUGGUACCCGUCUCUACAUCGGCACGUCCAGAACUGAGCUUCCGGCCGCCCUGGGUAUGGACCAGUCAGGUACGGCCUCUCUCAGAAGACAGCCAAAGCCAGAGACGCUGAGACGUGAGGGAGGAGCCGCCUGGUGGCCUGGGAAGACACUCCAAAUGGAGACAGCAGCAAGUGCAAGGCCCCCGACGGGGACGCGCUCCUCCAGGCUGCCCCCCGCACCCCAAGCCCCUCCACGUCCGGCUUAGUUCCGGGGGCUCCUGCCCAGACGUUCCUGAGGCCCUGACCCCCGCCGCUCCCGGAAGCCCUGCUCUCCCCAGGCUGGAAGUGACCUCGGGUGAAAGCAGCCGUGGACUGAAAGGCAGGGACGGGACAGACUCCUCUGGGGCAGCAAAGCCCAAGGACCCCCAUCCCUCAGGAGGGUGGGCAACAGCUGCUGGCCCCUGGAGGGUGGAUGCCCUGGAGGGGGAGGGGCACGGCGUGAGCCGGCAGUGGAGGGCUGACCCCCCCCACUCAUGCCCUGGGGGCCAGGGGUG